rnacentral:rRNA from 1 species
GACGAACGCUGGCGGCGUGCUUAACACAUGCAAGUCGAACGCUGAAGCUCAGCUUUUGUUGGGUGGAUGAGUGGCGAACGGGUGAGUAACACGUGAGUAACCUGCCUCCUUCUUUGGGAUAACGCCCGGAAACUGGUGCUAAUACUGGAUAUUCACUGGUCUUCGCAGGGGGGUUGUUGGAAAGUUUUUUUCUGGGGGGUGAUGGGCUCGCGGCCUAUCAGCUUGUUGGUGGGGUGGUGGCCUAACAAGGCUUUGACGGGUAGGCGGACUGAGAGGGUGACCGGUAACAUUGGGACUGAGAUACGGACUAGGAUACUACGGGAGGCAGCAGGGGGGAAAAUUGCACAAUGGGUGGAAGCAUGAUGCAGAGACGGAGGGUGAGGAAUGGAGGCCUUGGGGUUGUGCACCUCUUUCGAUAAUGGUCAAGCCGCAAAAAUGGUUGUGGUGAGGGUAGUGGGUAAAGAAGCGCCGGCUAACUACGUG